GUGCCAGCCGCCGCGGUAAUACGGAGGAUGCGAGCGUUAUCCGGAUUUAUUGGGUUUAAAGGGAGCGUAGAUGGUAUUUUAAGUCAGCUGUGAAAGUUUGCGGCUCAACCGUAAAAUUGCAGUUGAAACUGGAGUACUUGAGUAUGGAUGAGGUAGGCGGAAUUCGUGGUGUAGCGGUGAAAUGCUUAGAUAUCACGAAGAACUCCGAUUGCGAAAGCAGCUUACUAAACCACAACUGACAUUGAGGCUCGAAAGUGUGGGUAUCAAACAGGAUUAGAUACCCUGGUAGUCCACACGGUAAACGAUGAAUACUCGCUGUUGGCGAUACACAGUCAGCGGCCAAGCGAAAGCAUUAAGUAUUCCACCUGGGGAGUACGCCGGCAACGGUGAAACUCAAAGGAAUUGACGGGGGCCCGCACAAGCGGAGGAACAUGUGGUUUAAUUCGAUGAUACGCGAGGAACCUUACCCGGGCUUAAAUUGCAAAUGAAUUACUUGGAAACAGGUAAGCCGCAAGGCAUUUGUGAAGGUGCUGCAUGGUUGUCGUCAGCUCGUGCCGUGAGGUGUCGGCUUAAGUGCCAUAACGAGCGCAACCCUCGUCGAUAGUUACUAGCAAGUAAUGUUGAGGACUCUAUCGAGACUGCCAUCGUAAGAUGUGAGGAAGGUGGGGAUGACGUCAAAUCAGCACGGCCCUUACGUCCGGGGCUACACACGUGUUACAAUGGGGGGUACAGCAGGUUGCUACUUGGCGACAAGAUGCUAAUCCGUAAAACCCUUCUCAGUUCGGACUGGAGUCUGCAACCCGACUCCACGAAGCUGGAUUCGCUAGUAAUCGCGCAUCAGCCAUGGCGCGGUGAAUACGUUCCCGGGCCUUGUACACACCGCCCGU
rnacentral:rRNA from 1 species